UUGACGUAUGGUCGAGUUUUCUCCUUCUCCGUUGGUGUCGAUAAACGUCGAGCUUCUCCCUUUCGUCUUUUGACGUCUGGUCGAGUCUUCCCAGUCAUUCAUUAAUGUCUGGUUACCUCUCCGUUGGUUUCGAUAAACGUCGAGUUUUUCCUGGUCGUCCCCAGUUGAGUUACCUCUUCGUUGGUUUUGGUAAACGUUGAGUUUUUCCCACUAUGUCCGCUGACAUGUGGUUG
rnacentral:lncRNA from 1 species